ensembl:lncRNA
GUUCAACAUCGACUCCACCUCAAUGACUGUGAACAACACAGAUAUUUUUGCAGCAACUACGUUACCUCCAUCAUCUGCUGUAGUCACCCCUGUGGCAGAUACUACCACUUCAACAACUGGACAACCUCAUACUGUUCUCGUCACGGCUGCUACGACUGGACCCAGAAACACCACCACUACAUUGUUGUCUCCCUCAACAGUAUCAAAUAUAGCAUCAACCCUGGCCACACUAACUACCAGAACAUCUCCAACCACCACUACAACCAACCCACAAACAACCUCUCUUACAAUAUCUACAGCUGUGUCCAACAUCACAACAGCUUCUGUCAACACAACCAAAGCCGCCAAUACAACAACAACUACAGCUUCUGUCAACACAACCAAAGCUGCCAACACAACAACAACUACAGCUUCUGUCAACACAACCAAAGCUGCCAAUACAACAACAACGACUACAGCUUCUGUCAACACAACCAAAGCUGCCAAUACAACAACAACGACCACAGCUUCUGUCAACACAACCAAAGCUGCCAAUACAACAACAAUGAUCACAGCUUCUCCCUCAACAAGCUUGGGUGCUUCAACAGUCUUUCAAGGUACUCCUACAGCAACUAUUUUUCAACCUUUAACUGUGGCUGGUACCACCACUAGAACAACUGGACAACCUGUCACUGUUCCUACGACUGGACCCAGAAACACAACCACUACAUUUGGGUCUCCCUCAACAGCAUCAAAUGCAGCAUCAACACUGGCCACACUAACUACCAGAACAACUCCAACCACCACUACAACCAGCGCACCAACAACUACUAAAACCACAACUGCAACUACUACAACAACUACAUCAACUACAGCAACUACUAGGACAACCACCACAACUGCGCCUAUUCAACCUGCUCCAGUGGUGGUUUUCAUCAUACAACAACUUUAUGUCCCACAAUUAAGUAACCCUGCGAGUACAGAGUUCCAAACCCUUGCAUUAACUGUUAUUGCAGCGUUUGAUGUGAUCUACAAAACAAAAUACGGAAGCUUCUUCAUUAGGACGAUAGUUCUCGCAUUCACACCUAUUACCCGUUCCCGGAGUGCAGACACGCAGGCUGAGGUGAAGCUGGUGUUUAACCAGACCGCCGCACAACCGGUACCUCAACUUGCUGAAAUUGGGGACACGCUAAAGGCAGCUCUGAACAGUUCCAACAGUACCAUCGGCAACCUCACAGUGGUGUCAGACUCCAUCAAAGUUACAGUACUCACCUCAAAUACAACAGCUACUCCUGUCAUUACUUCCGCCAUCACAUCUACAACCCCUGCAACUACAACCACUAAAACUACAACCACUACAGCUGUUCCACUCAGUAUGGUGCCUGUGGUAUUCAGGUCCUUAGGGGAGACCUUCACCUCUGACCUAUCAAACUCAUCAACUCAGGCCUUUCAAAACCGAGCAUUACUCAUUAAAACUCAGGUAUGUCUCCUAAAAGGAUGAGAUGAGGACAAAGUCAGUGUCUUAACAAAUAGUCAAAUAGUCAACAGCAGGUUUUGCCUAAACUUCAUCUAUUUGUUUCUUUUGCUUCCAGCUUG